rnacentral:lncRNA from 1 species
CUUCUCUGCAGGGUGCAGGCUCAGAGGUGGGGCAGGGGACGCCCAAGGUCAUGGAAGAGACCCUUCAGGUGCAUCCUCCAACCUGCGACAGGGUUGGAGGAGUGCACACUCCAUCGCUCCUCUGCUGGGACCCAGGCCCGGAGCUGGGGGUAGCCGGCCUGGCCCCCCUGCCAGUCGGGUCCAGGGCAGGCCGGGCCACCGCCUCCCCGGCUCCCCCUCGGUCCAGGAAUCGGGGCUAGUAGGCAGCAUCAGCGGGGGACCCGGAAGUCAGGUGGGAGGCGGCACCCAGCCCCAAGGGGGCCUCUAACCCCUGGGGGCGGAGCGGCGGCCUCCGGAAGCGGGCGCGCUCACGGCUCGGCGCGGUUCCUGGCGCGGCCGCUGUAACCCGACUCCCCGCCCGCGGGGGGCGGGAGCCGAGCGGCGCUGCGCCCCGGCCCGAGUGCCACAUCACUCGCCCGGCCGCCCUGCUCGCCGCCCACCAUGCGGCCCCCGCCGCCGCUGCUCCUCACCAUGCUGGUCCUCGCCGCCGCCCGGCCCGGGUGCGAGCCCGCCUGGGACCCCGAGGGUGGAUGCCCCGGGUCUGCAGCUGCAGACAGCGGUACGUACCCGGACCGCCCGGUUUUGUUUUGUGGGAGUGAACACAGGCCCUCCACGCUCUCAAAGCCUUUUAGGGGGAGGAACCCGGGGUUCUGCAAUGGGUGAUGAUUAAGAGGGCCCAUCGAUCAAAUCCAGACCUAAUUAAAAGAGCUAGAAAUCAGGCAAAACAAGAGAGGGAGGCCCUUCCCUCUGUGCAGCUGGGCUCCCACCCCUGGCUCUGCCCUGGGCUUCUGCGGGGGUCUCUUCCAUCCCUCCCUCUCCGUGGCCCCCCAGGCGGGCUCGAGGAGGUCUGGGGUCUGACUUGAGGUGCGCAUGUGCCACGCUGGCUGGCUCUGCACCCCGUGUGUUCUUGGCACCUGCUGAGUCUGGGGCUGGGACAAGCCCCUCCCCGCCUGGCCUCGAGUUCCUGUCUCUAAAGUGAGGAAGGGAGCACUGAACUCCUGGGGGUGAUGCUGGAGAGGACGUGGAUCUGGCGUAUCGGAGGCGCUCAGAGCAGGCAUUUCUUCAAGGCUCCUCCUGCCAGAUUUGGGCAUUGGGGUAUUCUGAGCAGAAGCACUGGAUUUUUUUUUUAAGUGAAAGUGGCUCAGUUGUGUCCAACUCUCUGCGACCCCAUGGACUAUACAGUCUGUGGAAUUCUCCAGGCCAGAAUACUGGAGUGGGUAGCCUUUCCCUUCUCCAGGGGAUCUUCCCAACCCAGAAAUAGAACCCAGGUCUCCAGCAUUGCAGGCAGAUUCUUUACCAGCUGAGCCACAAGGGAAGCUGGUAAAGAAUUAUUAUUUUUUUUUAAGUAGGACAAUAUUUUUGCCAAACAGAAGUCAACCAUAUGCCUUAACGAGGCAACUCCUUGGCCGGGUUGGCU